rnacentral:rRNA from 1 species
UACGCAGGGGGCUAGCGUUGCUCGGAAUCACUGGGCGUAAAGGGCGCGUAGGCGGCCAUUCAAGUCGGGGGUGAAAGCCUGUGGCUCAACCACAGAAUUGCCUUCGAUACUGUUUGGCUUGAGUAUGGCAGAGGUCAGUGGAACUGCGAGUGUAGAGGUGAAAUUCGUAGAUAUUCGCAAGAACACCAGUGGCGAAGGCGGCUGACUGGGCCAUUACUGACGCUGAGGCGCGAAAGCGUGGGGAGCAAACAGG